rnacentral:rRNA from 1 species
GUGAACGCUGGCGGUAGGCCUAACACAUGCAAGUCGAACGGCAGCACCGUAAGAGCUUGCUCUUACGGGUGGCGAGUGGCGGACGGGUGAGGAAUACAUCGGAAUCUACUUUUUCGUGGGGGAUAACGUAGGGAAACUUACGCUAAUACCGCAUACGACCUACGGGUGAAAGCAGGGGAUCUUCGGACCUUGCGCGAUUGAAUGAGCCGAUGUCGGAUUAGCUAGUUGGCGGGGUAAAGGCCCACCAAGGCGACGAUCCGUAGCUGGUCAGAGAGGAUGAUCAGCCACACUGGAACUGAGACACGGUCCAGACUCCUACGGGAGGCAGCAGUGGGGAAUAUUGGACAAUGGGCGCAAGCCUGAUCCAGCCAUACCGCGUGGGUGAAGAAGGCCUUCGGGUUGUAAAGCCCUUUUGUUGGGAAAGAAAAGCAGCAGGUUAAUACCCCGCUGUUCUGACGGUACCCAAAGAAUAAGCACCGGCUAACUUCGUG